AGAGUUUGAUCCUGGCUCAGGAUGAACGCUGGCGGCGUGCUUAACACAUGCAAGUCGAGCGAAGCGCAUAAGUUUGAUUCUUCGGAUGAAGAUUUUUGUGA
rnacentral:rRNA from 1 species